GGCCCCCAGCCCUCCAGCCGGCUGUCGCUGCCCGAGUCAGCAAAAGUUGUUCCUGUCCCCGGCUCCCGGGAGUGGUUCGCUGCUGAGCUGUGCCUGCACUCCCCUUCGCUCUACGAGAGCCUGUCCCUCGCCGCGGCUCAGCCGAGCGCGCUGUGGGGCCGCCCGCCCCGCGGAGCCCGGCGUUCCCGGCUCCGUGCCGUCCUGCUCCCCGGCUGCCCUCCCAGCGCUGUCCUGCUCCCCCGGGCCGGCAGCGCGGGCGCCACGUGGCGCCGGGGCUGUGCCGGCCCGUCCCGCUCCCCGCUGCCGCCGGACGGGGCGGGCCCGGCCCUGCCGCCGAGCGGGACCCGCGCUGCCCCGGGGCGGGGCCGGCCUGGGCUGUCCCGGCGCCGCGCCGCUCCGCACGGCCGGACCCGCUCUGCCCGCCAGCCCGGCCCCGGCCCCGUCGCCCAUGGGGAGCGCGGCCCGGCGGCGGCCCGGCAGCAGGAGGCAGCGGGGAGGUUCCCCCGGCGGCCCCGCUCGCCCAUAGCCCGGCGGGGCAUGCCCGGCCGCAGGAUGCCGGCCUGGGGGAUCUUGCCCGUCACGCUGCCUGCCUUCACCAUCACCGGCAUGUGGAUCGUCUGCCCUGCGUGGUCCCCGUGUCCCCUGCAGCAGCGCUGGCACGUGCCUCCCUGUCCUUACAUCCUUGACGCCCCGUGGAAUUGCGUGCCCCUGUCCAGGCGUGAGUGCGGCUGACGCUCAGGUGACAUGGGAACGGUAUUGGAAGCCACGCCACCAGCCCAGGUACUGCAGUGCCAGGUCUGUAGCCAGCACAUGGGCACACAUCCCAUGUGGUGGAUGGAUGGAUGGAAGGGCCUUGUGCUGGGAGUAGAGGCUGUGUCACUUGGUGAACAGUUCUAGUCCACCCCACCAGUCCCUUUCUUGGGCCUUAAUGCUGGUGAGCAGUGGAUGAAGGACUUUCCUCAAAGGCACUGAGAGCUUCAGUAUAGGUGGUGGGACUUCCUGGGGUAUGGGAUGGAGCAAAUGCAUCCCAUAUGCAUGCAGGUUCCUCCAAGAGCUUCCCCUUGAUUCCCUGUCCUACUGCACAACAAAGCUGAAUGUUGUCCCUGGUGCUAGGAACUUAUGCUCCAAGUUUUUUCCUCGGACACCUUGCAAAGCAUAGGCUGUCUCCCAUGAGUGACCCUGGGGGGCAGAUGCCCCUCCAGCCCAAAGCAGCACAGGUGGGAGUUGCUGCUUAUGGUCCUCACAGCCUGAGCUACCCUGGCAGUGGCCCUUUUGGA
rnacentral:lncRNA from 1 species